AUGCCCUUGAAAGCAACUGCUACCUUCCUUCUCAAGCUUUAUGCUCUGGAAAAAAGGACAGAGAAGAACCCAACAACCACUUUCUUCACUUGGGAGGGCAGAAGUGAGAAGAAAAUAUCUUCUCAUACCACAAUUUAUUUUUCACAGCCUCACAGGAAUCUAAGAGACAAAUUAAAUGCACAGGCAAAUUAAAUGCAUAGAAAUGAAUUGGACUGCUCAUUUUUGGAGGACAAACCUUGAAUCUUUUUUUUUUUUUUUAGGUGGUUAGGUCUUUUAGGAGUUGCAUAUUUGCUAUCCCAUAACCUCCAUGAUUAGAGCCCACGAGUUAGGCAUUACUUUUUUCUUGCCUCUGUGGAAGAGCAUGGCAAUUUAGAUUUGUGAGAAUAUGAGGGAGCAAAUAUGAUAUAAACUAAAUUUUGCAUUAACUAAAACUUUGUCCCAUGCAUUUAAUACAGGAGGAAAUUAUUUUGUACGUAAGAGGUCUUUGUAGUAGGGCAAAGUUCAAACUCACCAUGUCCUUAUUCAGUAUGGUCAAUGAAUUGUGCUGGAUGAGUUUCGAGGAAUGUAGACCUUCUUCCUUUCUCUCCUGGGUCGCACCUCUGUGGAGUCUGGGUUAGACAAAUGCAAUAUGUGACCUUUCAGUGAAUUUAUUUAUAAAACUGCACCUUGAUUUUUCCUCACUAUUUAAAGCCUAGGGAUGAUUUGAUGAUGAAUGAUUAAACCCAUGGUGGGCUUAGAGACGACAGAGCUCACACACGCUCCAUCAAGAAAAGGAAAGCUACUAUGUUAAUAUUUAUUUUCUAAAAAUAUUAAGGCUCUCAGUUGUUUCAUUAAUUCUAAAGGGUUAAAAAGGGCUGAAAUUUGUUUAUAGCACUAAAUGUUUUUAAUAGGAAAUUUACUCACAUAAAAAAUUUAAGCAGAAGUAGUAGAAUACAGAUUAUCAUAAAACAUAUUUUCUAUGAAAGGCAUUUCUUCCUCAUCUUCAAUAAAUAUGAAGAAGUUAGAGGAGAGGAAAAAGCAAUCACUCUAAGACAACUUUUCGUCUUUGAGGGACAUUAUGAUAAGCCUGAAAUUAAUACGCACAGGCUAUUGCAUUUUUCUGUGAGAAAUGUGCCCCUUUGCUGUGAGAUUCUAAAAUGUGUUCAGAUUUAGUUUUUAUUCAAAUGAUCAAGAUAACGCAUUAGUUAGAUAACUGCUAUUUCAGAUAGUGAGGUUAGCUGAGAAAAGGAAGCAUGGUAGAAGAAAUGCAAAUAACAAUUCUUGGAAUGCCAACUCCUGAGGCUUAGUUUAACCAAGCUAAUUUGUUGGCCCAGGGAUGGCCAUCAUAUGAGUUUCCAUCAAUACCUGACUUCCAUCAACAACUGAAUCCAUGUUCUGGAGUAUUACAGAGACUGUUACUAUGACCUCAAAGACUGUGGCUACGAAUCUGAAGUUAACAAGACAUACAUCUUCUCUUACUAACUUAAGCCAUAUCUGUCAACUCUAUGUUUGAUUUUUCUGACCCUGGUGCUUUUACUUCUGUUUCUGCCAAACUUCAGCCUACUCUAUGGGGAAGGUGAGUAAAACUAGUAGUUAGAACAAAUAUGAAGACUGAAAAAAACUAAACAUACUCUUCAUAAUGAGAUCCUGUUCAGAGAACAGUAGUGAUCAAAGUGCAAACUGUUGGAAAAUAUGGAUAUAUGUACAUCUGUACAUGUAUAUAGUGUAUAAUAUGUAUGUAUAUGUUAUUGCUCAUAUGCAGAAAUCUAUCCAUUUGCAGACAGCCCAGGUGGGUCAAUGUUUCUAAUGGAAAACCAUUUAGGGCCAUUCAAAACCAUUAGGGCUAAUUUGUGGAGACGAAUUCUACUCAUUCUGGAAUUAAUUUGCUGUCUUUUGACAUCCACAAAGCCAAACUAACAAAGUGUGAAACAUAAAGGGGCCAUCAUUUAGUUUAUUCUGUUUAUCUGGACUUAUAACUAUCUUUACAUUUGAACUAUUAAUAGUUGAUUUGCAAACUGUAUUGGCAUCUCUUGGUUUUGAGUGACCCCUGCCCCCCUCAAGUCUUUUGAGAAUUUGGAGUGGGCUUCACUGGCCAUUCAGACAAAGGGCCUUAUUCAUAAGUGGACAGGUUUCCCCAUAGGGACCAUCGCACAUAUACAUAUAAGUACAUACUUCCAUCAGGCUUGUAACAAUUGAUUUAAAAUCACUCCACAGUAUUGAUAAAUAGCUCUAUAUUUUCAAGGUGCAGAAGAAUUCCACAGCCUUAAUUAUUUCAGUGUCUUGCUGGUCUGCCUUAAGUGUAUCUUCUGGGUUUUUGGUUAUUUUAUUAUUUUUAAAUUUUUCUGCUGUUGUUCAUUUUGUAUGCACACAAUGUCGUUUUGUAAAGGUAGGUUGUAAAUAUUUUAUUUGUAAGUCAAAAUCACUCAUGUGUAAUGUUGUAAAGUGAUGACCUGCUGUCUUGUUACUGCUACAGUAAAUGUUAUAAGUUAUGGAUGAAACUUCAAAAUGUACAUCUCACAUGUUAUGCAUUCCUAUAAAUAUACUAUACUAAAGAUACUA
ensembl:lncRNA novel transcript, overlapping to KALRN